UGGAAUAUUUAUAUGAUUAAAAUGUGGAACAGAUGAGAUAAGGAUAGAAAAGGGUAGAAAAAUUCCACUUGCGAAUAUUUAUAUAAUGAAAAUUUCUUGUGUCUGGCCAGUGUAACCAAAAGGGAUAAGGUUCAUGUGGUCUUCAUUCUGUCUGUGGAAGUAAAUAAUUCCUUAAGGACAGUGUUCAAACAUUACUUUAACUCACCUUUGAACAUUGUUAUUUCUUCAUGAGCUUUCAAACAUUAAUCCUACAUGCCAGCUACGAGAGAGAGAAAAUAAGGUUAUAAUUUGAAAACAUUACAAGAGCAAGAGAACAAUACUUCAUGAGGUAGAGUUUGAAAGAAAGACAAACACACUGAUACAGAACAAAAAGGAAAACAAAAGAGGAAGAUUCAAUGAAAACAAGAGAUGUACAAUAAGAAAACAUAAACUGUUGUAUAUAUACUUAUAUAAGAGAAAUAUUGAGGGAUACAUCGGUUUGGUUGUCCUUACCUUAAGGCGUCUUAGAACCAGAGAGAAAGAGUUUGAAAUAUGAAUU
rnacentral:lncRNA from 1 species